ACAGCAGACUGACAUAUGCUGUUUUGAGCUGGUUGAAGACCUGACGCGCUGCUGUGUUCUGGAUCAACUGCAGAAGUUUGAACGUGCAUGCGGGGAGACCUGCCAGUGAGGAGUUGCAGUAGUCAAUGCUUGAUAUUAUGAGACCCUGUAACAGGAGUUGUGCUGCAUGCUCAGACAGACAUUCAGCUGGGUCCAGGUACAAGUUCCAGUCAUGGACAGUUAGAGAUCCUCAUCUCAGCUCUGCACUUUGGUCUUGCUGUCAUGUUCCACACACAAAGUGCUUUUAGUGUCCUCACACUGAUUCAUAGCAGAGAAACACCUUCACACAAACACAACAGCCUGCUGGCAGAGCAGGUGUGAGCAGAACGUGCACUAAUGCAUCAAGUCAUUGUCAGCAACCAUACCAACAUGUACCCUGUUUCUGUUGAAUGACUGAAGCUAAGCAGGUGUGGGAUUGGUUAUUACUUGGAUGGGACACCUCCUGGGAAGGACUGAGUUGCUGCUGGAAGUGGUGGUGGGCCAGUAGGGGGCAGUCUCCCUUCCAGUCCUAAUAAAUCCCAAAUUCCCCAGUGCAGUGACGGAGACACUGUGCUGUUGGAGAUGUCAUCCUUCAGAUGAGACAUUAAACCGAGGGCCUGACUCACUGUGGUCAUUAAAGAUCCCAUGGCACUUAUUGCAAAGACUAGGGGGUUCCCUGCUGUGCUGGCAAAAAUCCCCAACCUGGCUCUCUCCAUCUGGCCACCUAAUCAUCCCCCAGUGUAACUGGCUCAAUGAUUCCCCCCCUCUCCACCUCAAGCUGAUGUGUGGUGAGAAUUCUGGUGCGAAAUGGCUGCCAUGCAUCACUCAAGUGGGUGCUACACAUUGGUGUUGGCUGAGGUGAGUUUCCCCCCUUCACUGAGAAAUGUUU